ACUGAAAAACGAAUAACUGAAAUUAAUUGCGAGUAGAGUUUCGAUUACGCGUGUUACGUCGACGUAUAGCAAUUUAAAUGUGGCUAAAAACAAAGUGUAUUUACUGCCUGAGUGAAUAAAUAUAGCAGAAAGUGAUAGUUUUGACGAAGAAAGGGAAAUAUCGAAUAAUAAUCGUCGAAUAAUUUUUCUAAUCGAUCGUUCGGGAGAGUUACAGGUUACCGAAAAAGUGAGGUUAUGAUCGAUGGUAUGGUACGCGCGUUCGUUCUAAUCUCUCUUGUCGUUAUUAGUCGAAUAACGUGGAAGGAUUUGAUUUAACGUUAUUAAACAUUGUAUCUAUUUUAUUUCAUUUAUAUCGUAAGUGAAACGAUUAUUCACGAUUCAUAUUUAUAUUCUUAUAUCUCGUUUACGUAUCUUGAUUAUCCAAUUCUCUGUAUAUUUAAAAGUAGAAUAACAUUUGCAAACUUUUAUAAACGAGCUAGGUUUAUGAAGUGCACUGCACUCGAAGGAGGGAAUCGAUGAUAACCGUUAAAUAAUGCAUGAGACGUACACAGCGUAAGGCAAGGUAGUGAGAGGUUAGAAAAGGAGAGACUGUCGAUUAGGACGGACGAUUAUUUUAUGGUGAAAAAUUCGUCGAACAGAAAUUUCCAUUUCGACUUAUAAUUUAAAGUGUUUUCGUUUCGUACGAUAGAUUUAUUUAAUCGGAAAACUGUGUAUCGUUAAUUGAUGAAAAGGAAAAAUUACCAAAUUACCAAAACGUCGUUAACGAGAAAUUUGAAAUUGCUCAAAUAAUUAACAAUAGCAUAGGAAUUAAGUUAAAACCAGUUUUAAUGGCAUUCUUACUAAAAUUCUACCUCUAAACCAUUCAUUCUAUGCUAAAUAGAAAAACGCACGCUAUCUCCCCGUUUUCUAUUUUAAUAAAACCUUGAGUCAUACGUUUCUGAAUACGCGCGCGCAUAUAUAUAUACACGUGUACUAUUCUUUCCAAUUUACAUUUUCUUACAAUGAACGGAUUUGUCACCUCGCGAUACCCGCGUCAUCGUGACACAACGUCGGAGAUAAUAAAGUCGUUCGAGGAGAUCGAAAAGAUUCCAUUCACGAAACGAAACCCAAUUCGUUCCUUAAUUCGUUCCUUCGAAUAGAUUUAGAGCGCGAUCACAUGUUGCGCGUGACGCGGCAUCGUUGUAAAGAUAACUCGAAGAUAAGGGGAUAUAGAAUUUUCGUGGAGAAGAAAUUACGAAAGUCGAAUCGUAACGAAACUAUUGAAUCGAGCGAAGGAAGCGCGGCAACAGCGUAUCUUUAAUUAAGAUUCGCAUCGUGGUGGCUCGCCACGAGUUUUUCCACGGUCCUCUCGCAUGAGCGCACGCGACACGUUCGAGAAUGGACGCACGGCAGGAACUCGCGAGUCUGCGCGAUUCGCAUAUAAAUAUAAAAUGAAAUAAAAACAAGGAAUGUACUUUCGGCCAUGGUUUUUCGGCCGGUGAUUUGUUUGAUUGUGCUUCGAAUGUAGGAAAUGUAAUAACGCACGGGGGAAUUAUUUAUUGUUCUCAAUCUCGAGAAGAAAAGCUUUCUUCUCGAAGGGGAGGGAAGAGGCUCGAUCACUUGGACAGAAACGGUUUAUGAAAAUUCAUGUAUUGCAACGCGAUCGUGAGAUAAAACGAUAAAUAACCGGAAGCAACUUCCUUUUCCUCGGAGGAACGCAACGGCCAAUAUGGUGACGCGCGGCUGGCCGCGCAACGAUGAAUCGAUAGAGAAACGCUCCGUUCUCUGUUUCGUGGCUAUCCAGGCAUUGAAGUCACUUCUGCGCGCAGAACAACGGAGAGAAAGAUUUCUCGGAAGUGUUUCAUUCCUCGAGUAUUUGUCACACUUUUGAGAUCGGUCGAUCGAGAUGAGAACGCGAAUUGGAAAAUUUGAAUAAAUAUAUACGAGAAUUCGUAUAAUAAUGAAUUUCGUAAUAUUUUUUUUCCUUUUUUUUUUUUUUACUUGGAUAUAUUAGAAAGUUUACCGCUAGAAAGCAUAACGAAUCGGAGAGGCUUUGUGUAAAAUUUCACGAUUCGUUUGCUAUGUUUGGUAAGAAUUCUUCUUAUUCCCGAGAAGUUGUGUUACGAGUUGUAUUACAGUUUGUAGAGGAGAGAAAGAGAAGUUUUGUCAACGAUGGGAGAAGAAUAUUUUGUAACGAUAUUUCGAUGUUCGGAGGGGAGGGAUGAAAAUUUACGAGAGAGCAUGCAUGGAAGAGAUUCGGACAAAGGUUAGAGUUUCCUAACAUUUUUAACACGGUGAAUAGAUUUGUUGAAAGCUACUUACACUCGAGAUGCUGUACACUAAUAGGUGUAUACACUUAUAAAGAUAAUGGAAGCAACGACAGUGGGCAAUAGAAAAGAAUAGAAUCAGAAAAGAUAGUCGAUCGUAAAAAACGCGUAUCGAUAAAUUAUCUCCCUUUGCAAUUAUAAAUUAAUUGGACAAAGGAGGAUAAAAAUGAUAUAUAUCUAUUAAAAAUAACGAUAUUGUGUAUCCGCUUGUAAGCGAUUAGUGGAGAGAUAUUAAAAAAAGAAAAGAAAAGAAAGGAAAAACAGAAAAAAAUUCCACGCGUUUCAACGAAGGAGUGUAAUUAAAAGCGUUCAAUACUUUUUUUAAAAAAGUUGAAAUAUUCGAUUUUGGAAUCGCGAUAAUUGUUUUAAUUAUAUACGAUUGAUACAUUUUUUUAUAGAGUUUCGCAGAAUUUCAACAAACAAAUUUUUAUCGCGGCACAUGCCCGACACACCGUAUAAAUAUUACAGUAGUCGCAUGCUUUGUUUUAUUAUUAAAUCCAAUCUUAUCUAUCUCUUUUUAUGGCCUUCUCAUAUUUUUUCCGAUUCGCCAUUUAUAUUUCAAGAUUAAUCAAUGUUAUAAUAUCAAACGUAUAAUAUAUCACUUGUAACAACAAUAAAAAUAAUAUGUAUAUUCACAUUGUCAUAUCGUAUAAUUAUCAUAACACGUAAGCAAAUUUAUAUAUAUAUAUAUGAUUUAAAGUGAUCUAUCGCUGAUAGAGAACGUUAGAUACGCGUCGAAAAAACAGGUUAUAUUUUCGAUGACUCACUCUUCUGUAUUCUGUUUUGUAAUAGGGUACGCGUGUAUAUAAGGAAUUUCUAACCGAGUGGCAACCGAGUUCUGUAUGCGAUAUAAUUAUUGGAAUACACGAAAUAUUUUAUCGUACAAUCUAUUUCGAGUUAACUCUAAGGAUCGUCGAAGGAAAGUAACUGAACGAGAAUUUAAUCGCGUCUGUUUAAGCCUCGUGGCUCACUUACAAUUUGCGAGGUAAGUACAAGUCCAAUUAGGGAAGGAAAAGUAUGAUUUCAGAGACUUUAGAGAGUGUUAAUAUGGGGGAGGGGGAAGGAAAAAAAUGUAACGUAUAUUUAAAGAAUUAUCUUUAAUGUUAUAUAUAUGCUUGAUGCAAAUUGUUGUGUAUCAAUUCUGAUUUUUUAGAUAUAUAAAAAAAAACAUUUCGAAGAAAUAAAGCACAUAGUUGUAAAUUACGUUCUUUCAUUGUCGAGGAAAUUCUAUUUGGAUAAUUUUAAUUGGAAAUGAGUUUCUUGUAAUUUAUAAUUUGUUUUCAUACACUUUUUAUUUUUGACAGCUCAUGCUCGUUUAAUAGGUAUGAGCUGUCAAACAGAUAUCACACGUAUCACCGCGUUUCUAUUUUUCGACGAUCCGAAUCGAUAUCGAACGUAACGUAACAAAAUAUACAAAUAUACGUGGAUAAAUAUACGGUCUUCCAAUCGUACAAAAUUAUUUUCGAUUUACAACGUCAUUUUUGUAUAAAUAUUUUAUCUAUUAAGAAAACGACGAUCGUCCAUUUUCGUUGCCUUUCAUUCUCAUACAAAUACACACCAGAUGUAUCCACUUACGCCCACUUAUCCACCUAUAUAGAAUUCUUGCUGCAAACAUUGUUUGAUCGGGCGUAGCGCAGAAUUAAAAUUCACAGAAUUAUUCAAAUUAAUAAUGGAUAUAUUUCUUCGAUAGAGCGCCCGUUUCAAAUUACCAUAACAAGACGAAAUUUUAACGAAUUUUAAUGAUUACACGCUAUACGGAUUGUUUCGAAAAUCGUCUCGAGCGUUUCAUCCGUUUCAUCGAGCGAAUAUUCCCACGGUUCGUUUCGAUCCUCUGCAUUCGUUUCGAAUAAUCGUCGAUCCGUCGAGAACGAGAAAUCGAAACGAUAUUUUCGUUCGAGUCUAGGCACCUCCCCUCCAGCUUUCCUUUCCCUUUCCACAUUUUCCCUCGAAACGAUCGAAUCCGAUCUCUCGGAAUUCUGAUCCUUCCCUCCUCCCCUCCCCUAUUCUCUCCGGAUCGCGUUUCAUCUCGCAUAGCCGUUUCGCCAAAGUCGAAGGAUCGAUCUUCGGUACCAGAGACGAGAACAGGUACGAGAAGAAAGAAACUUUCGAUUUCUUUUCCCGAGCCCUCCGCCCGGCAACUUUCAACGCGCGAAGCCUCGUAGCGCCGCACAAUUUUAUGUAAUACCAUACUUGGCCGAUACGAGCGGUAGCGGCGGCCUUGCGCGACGACACGACGCAUCGUACGAGCGAGCGAAGGAGAGUUGGUUAAAUUUGAAAGGGACACGGUCGUACCGAACGUAAUUGAUUUACGUUCUUCCGUGAUAGUAGCGAGCGUUCGAAGGAAAAAUGCAUUCCCUUCGAAUUACGUUGCAGCGGUAUAAAUAAUACCGUCCGAGCGCGGUGAUCGGUUAGUGGAUAGAUCGGACUGGAUAGAGAAUGGAUCUUAUUCAUUCGAGCAGCGGUUCUCAAAUGCGGAAUUCUUUUGCAAGGAUAACGCGAAUUCCAUUGGCUGUGUGGAUGGAUGCAAUACGGAUGAUACGGAAGAGGGACGAUAUUGGAGGGGAUAGUGCCCGGAAUUCGAAGGGAAAUUUUGAAGGGAAAAAGAGAGGGAAAUGGAGCGUCGAUGAGAGAAGGAGAGAGGAAUACUCUGCGACUAGAUUCCUGCGGGUGUAAUGACGGACAACCGCGUGUCCAAUCUCGUUCUCUCGCGUAUAUAAAAAUAUUCGAGACCGCGUCGCGCUCAACUUUAUCGCGUGUACACAAUUUGCCACGAGUGGACGGACGCACCUUGAUUGACGUGCAUCGAUUGCAUAACGCGAACGGGUGAUCGUGUUGACGUUUAAGAGGAUCCGACGAGUUAAAAAAAAAAAAGAAAACUGCGUUCGAAAAAUUGAAUAAACGCGAUAUAUACGCGAAUAUUAUACAUUCUGCAUUCGUCGUAUAUUAUUCGUUUAUUAUUGCUUAUUUAUAACGGAAGACAAGGUUUCGUUCGAAGGAUUCGUUUCGUAACAAUAUCCAUGUGUCAUCGAAUAUCACGUAUAAACGAGGAUUCCGACGAACAAAAGAAAUUAAAAUUGGAAAUUGUCGCGCACAACAUUUUACGUUUAGAAAGCGGAACUAAAUGCAACGAGAAGAGGGAGGGGGAUGGCAUUAAAUAAUUUUAUCCCUUAAUUUCUUUUUUUUUAUCCAGGAAUCUGUGAAACAAGUCGUAAAAUCGCAACAUUUUUAUCACGAGCCAAGAACUUUCUCCGAUAAAACGAUCCGAAUUUCGUUCAUUUUCUCUAAUAUGAUUUAUGCUUAUAUUUAAAAUAGAAAUGACGCGUAAUUAUGAAAUACCUUUGCGCGCGAUGCUCGAGUUUGCGAGACGGAGACAACUUUCUCGACAAUUUUGUGAGAAAAACUUUUCCCGAUUUGACGCGCAUUCUUUUCCAUUAAUUUUUUUUUUUUACACACAAACGCAGAUAGACAGAAGAUUUUCGAUGAAAAAAAUAAUAAAAAAGAAAGGAUAAAGGAUACGUGUGUCAAAAUUAAUUGAUAAUUAAAAACAAGAUAGAAAAAGAAGAAACGUAUCUUUCUUUUUCAGAAUGCAUUUUACUUUAUUCGACGCGUUAGAAUUUUCUCUUUAAAGUCCCCAGUCUGGUCAAGCCAAACGCGGACGCUUUUCGGAAAUAUUUCCGUGUAAUACCGUACUUGGGAUGAGUUCAACGAGGUUACGUAAGAUAACGAUCAUAGAGAUACGAGAUAACGAUAUAAGAUAAAAAUCGAUGGAAAUUACUCAGCGAUAUAUUUGAGAGAACGGAUGGAAAGAAACGUGGCAAAACGUCGACGUCGCAAAGAAUUGGCUCGUCCUCGAGAGAAGCAGAUUUGAAUAACGGCCUUGGUAUAACGUGGCGUGCAUCGUUGCAAUCCCGAACGAAAGGCGCGUUACUAGAGCUUCCGGUUGUGCGUGACGCCUCGGGACGAGCACGUUUCGAGCAACGCUGCCGCGUGUAUAUUCGCCGCACGACAUCUCUCCCCUUCUUUCGGUAACGGUAUAAACUUUUACCGCAGCUUCUGCGCAGAACGAUCGGCGCAGGAUGGAUCAGUGACCGCGACCCGAACCCACGACAACCACCCGUCAAAUCGUUGUUUUCGAUGCGCGAUUCGACCAUUUAUCUAAAGUGUCCUAUAACUUUCUUUCGCGCCACGCCACGAAUGACUUUGACUAGCUAUUUUUAUACGAACGUGCGGCCUUAUCUAUUAGCCGUUUACGGCAACGGUUUCAGUCGUCUCGGAGCUGUUUUAAAGUACGUUUCGCCGGUCUGUUUUAAAACAUUUUUCUACACCGUUCGGAUAGGAAGCGUUUGCGGCGUGUAAUGGUUCGUUGCUUUAAAAAGGUGAUUGUGCAAAUGAUAUCGCAGACGAGGUUUAUUACCGUUUACGGGAAUGGUAUUACGAUUAUCCGCGAUUGAUUUAGAGCUGGGAAUUUUGAAAGACAAAGGCCGCAGCGGCGGAUACGGACCUUGUCAAGGCCAUGCUCGUUGAAAAUCCACGAGAUAGUGGAUGCCAUUAACGUUCCCAGGACGACGGUACGUAAUCACCCGAUCAGAAUGGGAUAUGUCGAUCGAAGUUUGGGUUCCACGGCUAUUGACGGCUUGCGAAUCUGAGAGGCUUGGAUUUUCUAUUUAUAUUUCCUAUAAAAUGUGCAUCGAAAAUUGAUCUAAGGACAAUAGACCUUCGACGAAGCCUGGAUUUCACCCGAACAAAGUUCUUUUGUCCAUUUGAUGGAAAGGACUUGGAAAGGUCUUACAGUUUGCUCCUCAACAUGAAAAACGGCCAGACGAUGCAAAAUCGAUGUAAGAGAAAAGCUGUUACAAUUUGAUGGGGACUGAAUGCGAUUAAAAAAAUUCUCUUCAUAAACGAAAUAAAAACGCAGCUCGAGGAAUAUUUUAUGAAUAAGCCCCAACAAAGAGGGAAUAAUAAGGGUUGACGAUGGGAUCCUUAUGAUGGAAGAAGGGAACGAAAAUUCACGUUCGAAGAGAAAACGGUUUAUAAUCAGAGCAAAGUGGAACGUUGAUCUUUAAUCUUUAACGGCGAUUUCUUUUUUCUUUUUUUUGUUUUUAAUCAUAAACGAUCUGGUAACGUGCCAAAUAUUUUAACACGAAAGGGGGUGGAAGGAAAGAUAGAUAAGAGGGGAAGGGCUGGGUAUAAUAACGCCAAGAUUUAGAUUGGUUGGCAACGUUCUGAGCGUAUUGAAAUAAUAACACGUUUCCGUUGUACGUGUACGCGCGCGCGCACUUACCAUUGUUUUCUUUUCUCGCUUUUAAAAAUGACACGCUCUAAAAAGAGGGGAGGAAAAAAAUAUAUCGCCGAGGAAAAACCGUCAUGGUGAUUCUUUUGUGUGACUACCAUCACUCUUUCAUAUAUAUAUAUAUAUAUACACACGCUGCACAUAAUAUAUAAUAGGCGUCGAUGAGAGAAGGAUGCUCGAGGGAAAAGAGAUCGUAAUUUUACUUAACUCGCGUUUUCAACGACUCUCUUCCAACCCAUUCUUCGUUCCGUUUCGAUCAAUUGUAAAUUUACUUCAUCGACAAUUAAUAAUCGGAAAACGUAAGUAUCGAAUAAGAGACGAAAUAAAACGCAUCGAAAGAACACCGAGUGUGCUUCAUCUCGAAUGGAAUUCGGGAAAAUCGUUUUACGAAUUUAUCGAAGUUUCGUCCGACGGAUUUCACAGAGGGAAUUAUCGAUUUUUCGAGUGAAACGUAUCGAUACCAGCAAAGUGCAAGCAAAGUGUAUACGUUUCACAAAAGGGAGUCAUUUUUAAAUAGCCAAUUUUUAAUCAUCACUGGCCGUCGGCUCACGUAGAACUUGCACCGCGUUUUUUCGAUUCCCUAGCUGCGUGUAACGAUAAAAUCUGGCACACGGUUGCACGGAGGAAAAAGUGGCACAAGGAUACGCCGAACUUGAUUUUUUCCCCCCAACGUGUGUCUCAUUUUACGUUAAAAAAAAUAUAGUUGCAAAUGCUGCCGCUUAAUUUCCCGGCCACGUCGUCUUCCGGAUCGCUGCAAUGCCCUACUUUAAUCGAACGCGUGGCUCCAGUCGAUCGGAAAACCAGUUUUUCUAUCGUUUUCUUAAUUUUCUUCCCUAUCAAUUUCUGUAUUUUCAAGCUGACAAAUUCUUCUUCUUCCACGUAACGAGAGAAUCUAAUUCAAUGAGAUUAUUCGAGGACGAAAUGUAAAAAGAAUUUUCUACCACUUCUCCGAUAAUAAUUUUUAGGAAGAAAAACUAAUAUUUUAAUUAAUCGCGAUUUAAAGAAAAAAGAAAAGGAUUCAGAAUUUCUUUGUUUGCAUAAGUGAAGUGAGAUUGAAUUUAAAUAAAUAAUAAAAUUUUCUCUGCACAUGACGCGUGUGAUCGAUGGAAAUUAUUUGUGUGCGAUGGUGUAUAUAUAUAUAUAGUUCGUCAGUUUAAUUGGUGUAUGUGCAUAGAUGAGUCAUAUACGGUCUGGUUAAACCCAACGAAUCGCAGGAGGCGUAAAUAAUUAUAAUCGCGAACGAAUUAUUUAAUUAAUCGAAUCGAACAAGUGUGUAAAUUUCUACCCGAUACGCGAUCAAUUUCAAUAACUCCAAGCGGUUGUUGUCGAUAAUAUAGGAUACUAUUUUACUAUUAACCUCGACAAACGUCAAAAAACGUUUCAUUCGUUUCAAAUGUUCAUUCGACGAAACUCGCCAGGAUAGGAACACGUUUUUAUAAACAUUUGACCGACUCGAAAUUUAUAAAAUAUUUUGGAUUAUUUAUUUCGCGAUAGUUUUUGCGUUAUUUUAUAUAUAUUAUUAUUAUUAUUUACACGUAACGCGCAGCUGAUUCGUAUUAAAUUACAGAGGGAGCCAUCUCUACAAUAUAAUAUUUCUCGCCAACAAUUGAUAUCUUCUCGUAAACGAUAUUUUAAUUUGGCUUGGAUAUGUAUAAAAAAUAAAAAAUAUACGUUUUUAAA